rnacentral:lncRNA from 1 species
CCUGAAGAGGGACUAUGGUCGGCGUGAAGAUCUUCUUCCUCCAAGAAGCAGACCAGCUGUGAGCUAUAGUAGCUCCAGGCUUUCUCCUGAGAGGCAUUUGUCUUACAGAGAUGAUUAUGCACCUCGUGGGUCUGUUGGUUAUUCAGAUAUUCCUAGAGAUUCUUCUCGCUUAGAAAUGAGGAGGCCGUACGGGGAUGACCUUUACAGUCCGAGGUUUGAAAGACCUCCUCCAAGUUACAGUGAAGGGAGAUCUCGUGCUUAUGAUGAACCUCUUCCUGGAUCAAAACGACCAUAUGCUGCAUUGGUCUGAUUUAUUGCUUCCUCUGACCAUUUUGUUCUAUAAUCAAACUAUAUGAUUGUUUUCUUAACAAGUGUUUAUAUCAUUCAGGAUGACAUUCCUCCCCGUUAUGCCGACGUCGAUGCUCGUCAUUCAAGAGCUCGUCUGGACUAUGAUCUUGGCCCAUCUCAAUAUGGGGAAUCGUUUGGGGACCGGUAUGUUCUCGUUCUAUGGAUAUAUCUCUGUCUGCAACUUCUUUGUGAAAUAUGUAUGUCUUAGUUUCUUACUUGCAUGUUUAUUUUAGGAUUCCUAGAUCUAGUUUAGGAUAUGGAAGCAGCCGAAAUGCAAUGACAAGUCAUGACUCGCGUGGUCCAUAUAGCAGCAGUCGUCAGGGAAUGGAUUAUGGAGGAGGUUUGUUUGAUAACUCUCUGUCUGUUGUGGCUUAACAUACAGCAAUACUGCGUCGAGAUGCAAACACUUACAUGGCUAUGUUGCUUUACUUCAGGUUCGUAUAGUAGCAGCGAUGUAGGAGGAAUGUACUCAUCAAGCUAUGGUAGUGAACCACCCAGAAGAGAUGUAAGUUCAAGCUAUGGUAGUGACAUACCCCCCAGAAGAGAUGUAAGUGGCUUCAGAAACAUUCUCGUUUUCUCCUUUUUUGUUGGAAAGUUGAGUUGAGAGUAACUUUUUAUUGUUGGAAUUACAGGGAGGAGGUAGCUCGUAUUCUUCAGUAUACUCAAGUCGUGGACUGGGUGGUACUAGUUACUCAGGUGGUGGUGGUGGUCCAGGAUCAUACUACUGAAAGUGAGUUAGUGGUAAUCUUUUGGUUCCUUCUUCAUAACAAGUUUUAGGUUGUCUCUUGUGGUGCAUUGUUUUGUUACUUGGAAUGCCAUCUAAGCAAUGUGAUUAUGGAACAAAUGGAUUUACCAAGUGAUAAAUAGAUUUUUCUUUUAUGUCUCUGGAUGGUAGCUUAGAAUACUUUCUAACGACAUUAUUGAUUGUUAGUGAUUCUGUUAUAUCUUCUGGUCAUAGUACUUUAGUUUGAUUAAUAUUUUGGUGGUGCAGGUUAAGACUAUCUUCAUUGAUGGUCUGUCAACUUCAUGGAGCGAAGAGCAUGUUAGAGACCUGUUGAAAAGAUUUGGCAAACUUGAGAAAAUUGAGCUUGCACGCAAUAUGCCAUCAGCCAGGAGGAAAGAUUUUGGCUUUGUAACUUUUGAUACUCACGAGGCUGCUGUGACUUGUGCCAAAUCUAUCAACAACUCAGAGCUAGGCGAAGGAGAGGACAAGGUAUGGCUUAUUCUUAUUCACGCAAGUAUAUUCUUGAUUUCUAAUUCCUCUCUUUGUUCCAGGCAAAAGUGAGGGCACGCUUAUCCAGACCACUUCAUGGAGCAGGCAAAGGCAGACAGCCCAGUCGCUCAGACCACCGGUCUAGUAGGCAUGGGAGUAGACGAUCUGGAAGGAGUUCACUGGCUCGUCUGCCACCUCGUAGCUCUAGAGGCGUUGGACCUCGGGCCCCACCUCCUAGUAGUGCAAAGAGAGCUAAUGGAUCAAGAGGAAGACGUCCACGACCGCCUCUACCUCCACCUGCAAGAGCUAGGCCCUCUAGGCCCUUGCCACCACCUGCAAGAUCCAGGCCCUUACCGCCACCUUCAAGAGCCAGGCCCUUGCCACUACCUGCUAGGUCUUAUGACAGAAGACCUCCAGGUACCACUAGGACUUGUUGUUUUCUCCAUGUUCAGUUAUCUUUUUUUUCUUCUUGAGCCUCAGUGUAUUUGAAAUUUUGAUUUUGCAGUUCCUCCGUAUCCAAAGGCUAGCCUGAAGAGGGACUAUGGUCGGCGUGAAGAUCUUCUUCCUCCAAGAAGCAGACCAGCUGUGAGCUAUAGUAGCUCCAGGCUUUCUCCUGAGAGGCAUUUGUCUUACAGAGAUGAUUAUGCACCUCGUGGGUCUGUUGGUUAUUCAGAUAUUCCUAGAGAUUCUUCUCGCUUAGAAAUGAGGAGGCCGUACGGGGAUGACCUUUACAGUCCGAGGUUUGAAAGACCUCCUCCAAGUUACAGUGAAGGGAGAUCUCGUGCUUAUGAUGAACCUCUUCCUGGAUCAAAACGACCAUAUGCUGCAUUGGUCUGAUUUAUUGCUUCCUCUGAC